GAUCAGAUACCGUCGUAGUCUUAACUAUAAACUAUGCCGACCAGGGAUAUGAGUUGUUAGGAAUAUAUGAAAGUAUAUUCAAUUUCUUCUUAUGGACCUUGUGAGAAAUCAUAAGUGUUUGGGUUCUGGGGGGAGUAUGGUCGCAAGGCUGAAACUUAAAGGAAUUGACGGAGGGGCACCACCAGGAGUGGAGCGUGCGGCUUAAUUUGACUCAACACGGGAAAACUUACCAGGUCCAGACAUUAGAAGGAUUGACAGAUUGAUAGCUCUUUCAUGAUUUGAUGGGUGGUGGUGCAUGGCCGUUCUUAGUUGGUGGAGUGAUUUGUCUGGUUAAUUCCGAUAACGAACGAGACCUUUACCAUACUAACUAGUUAUAUAUAAACUUUUGUUUAUAUAGGUGAACUUCUUAGAGGGACUAUUGGUUUACAAACCAAAGGAAGUAAAGGCGAUAACAGGUCUGUGAUGCCCUUAGAUGUUCUGGGCUGCACGCGCGCUACAAUGAUAAGAUCAUCAAGUUAUUUUUAUUGAUUUGCUUUACCGGAAGGUAUGGCUAAUCUUAAAGUCUUAUCGUGCUUGGGAUAGAUGAUUGCAAUUAUUCAUCUCAAACCAGGAAUUCCUAGUAGUCGUAGCUCAUCAGGCUGCGAUGAUUACGUCCCUGCCCCUUGUACACACCGCCCGUCGCUGCUACCGAUUGGAUGAUCCGGUGAAAUCCUCGGACUGACGUAGUUAUCUAGCUGCAAAGUUAGAUGUUAUGUUGGGAAGUUGAUUAAACCUUAUCAUCUAGAGGAAGCAAAAGUCGUAACAAGGUUUCCGUAGGUGAACCUGCAGAAGGAUCA
rnacentral:rRNA from 1 species